CUGUCACGUGGGACAGCAUCAGUCAUGUUCAGAUACGCUUCGUGUUCUUUCCAGAGUGACUUCUCUUGUGUUUCUUUGUGUGUGUCCGUCUGUCUGUCGGUUCUUGUGGGAGCAGUCAGAAGGUCAGUUUGAAAGAUCGUGUCUUCUCCAGCCCCCGAGGCGUGGCUGCCAAGGGGAAGGGGUCCCCCCAGGCCCAGCCUGUCCGGCGGUCACCCAGUGCUGACCAGAGCCUCGAUGACAGCCCAAGCAAGGUGCCCAAGAGCUGGAGCUUUGGAGACCGCAGCCGGGCGCGCCAGGCCUUCCGGAUCAAGGGUGCCGCGUCCCGGCAGAACUCAGAAGAAGCAAGUCUCCCUGGGGAGGACGUCGCAGAUGACAAUAAGAGCUGCAACUGUGAGUUCGUGGCCGAGGACCUGACCCCGGGCCUCAAAGUCAGCAUCCGAGCCGUGUGUGUCAUGCGGUUCCUGGUAUCCAAACGGAAAUUCAAGGAGAGUCUGCGGCCGUACGAUGUGAUGGACGUGAUCGAGCAGUAUUCUGCUGGCCACCUGGACAUGCUGUCCCGGAUCAAGAGCCUGCA